rnacentral:misc_RNA from 1 species
UAUGCUCUCUCCUCAUAUUUUGGGAGAGGAUCACUAUAAUACUGCUCGUGGAGUACAGAAGGUUCUUCAAAAUUACAAGAAUUUGCAAGAUAUUAUUGCCAUUCUGGGAAUGGAUGAGCUCAGUGAAGAUGAUAAGUUAACUGUUGCACGUGCUCGUAAAAUCCAACGGUUCCUGAGCCAGCCUUUCCAUGUUGCUGAAGUAUUUACUGGGGCACCUGGCAAAUAUGUGGAGCUAAAAGAAAGUAUCAACAGUUUCCAGGGAGUUUUGGACGGAAAGUACGACGACCUUCCCGAACAAUCAUUCUACAUGGUUGGAGGCAUUGAAGAGGUCAUUGCCAAGGCCGAGAAGAUUGCCAAGGAAUCUGCUGCCUAAUUAUCAUCAUCAUUGACGUUGUCUUAUUUCACAACUCCCCAUUUUUCUCUUUGUAAUUGUGAAGAUCAAUAAUCUAGGCGAUGUUGGCAAAUGUUAUCUGUCAACAAGAUUUUCAUUUAUAUAUUUUUUUGGAGAUGUCUUGUACCAAUCUUCCCUUUGCCAUUUUAGUGUGUUGAAGAGAAAUGAAGCCACUGGCCUGCCCCUUGUUUUUGUUGUUCUUUGAAUAAGGGGGAAAAUGGACUCAGAACUUUGUAUACUUUCUUUUCCCAAUCAAUUCCAA